CGUGGUUUCAGAGCUUUUCGUUGUGCUGGCGACAGGCCGCCGGACGUAAGAUGCUGGGGGUUCGCGCUGCGUGAAGUCCUCCCGGUCCGUCCUGCGUGCCUGGGAAUUCGGCAGUCGCGACGGCGAGAGUCGGGACUCGGGGAAACCCCAGCGGAUGUGGAUUCCCCUCCUAGCUCCACCCCUGCAGUGCCAGUGAAGGACAGCAGAGCUGUGGGGAUGAGAGUUUGAUCACUCCAUUCAGUGCACACCCAGAUGCAUGUGUGGCACCUCCUGGUGUGCUGCCCCACUGGGUAAAGGGAUAUUGGAAGAGAUUCUGGAGUGGGAUGUGAAGAUUCAAGAGCAGUCUUUGAAUAUUUGCAUCAUGAUAGGUCUUGGAGGUGCCUUGUGGGUGGGUCUUUGGGAGGUUCCAUUAUCAGGGAAUUAUGGAUAUUAAGGAAGUCAGGAAAUAAAAGAUUAACUCACAAUUCA
rnacentral:lncRNA from 1 species